rnacentral:rRNA from 1 species
AUUGAACGCUGGCGGCAUGCUUUACACAUGCAAGUCGAACGGUAACAGCACUUCGGUGGCUGACGAGUGGCGAACGGGUGAGUAAUACAUCGGAACGUGCCUAGUAGUGGGGGAUAACUACUCGAAAGAGUAGCUAAUACCGCAUGAGAUCUAAGGAUGAAAGCAGGGGACCUUCGGGCCUUGCGCUACUAGAGCGGCUGAUGGCAGAUUAGGUAGUUGGUGGGAUAAAAGCUUACCAAGCCGACGAUCUGUAGCUGGUCUGAGAGGACGACCAGCCACACUGGGACUGAGAGACGGCCCAGACUCCUACGGGAGGCAGCAGUGGGGAAUGUUGGACAAUGGGCGCAAGACUGAUCCAGCAAUGCCGCGUGCAGGAUGAAGGCCUUCGGGUUGUAAACUGCUUUUGUACGGAACGAAAAGCCCUCUUCUAAUACAGGAGGGUCAUGACGGUACCGUAAGAAUAAGCACCGGCUAACUACGUG